rnacentral:hammerhead_ribozyme from 1 species
AUCCAACUGACAAUUCCAAAAUAAGGCGAAACGCGCGUCCUGGAU